rnacentral:rRNA from 1 species
AACGAACGCUGGCGGCAGGCUUAACACAUGCAAGACGAACGGAUCCUUCGGGAUUAGUGGCAGACGGGUGAGUAACGCGUGGGAACGUACCCUUUGCUACGGAAUAACUCAGGGAAACUUGAGCUAAUACCGUAUGUGCCCUACGGGGGAAAGAUUUAUCGGCAAAGGAUCGGCCCGCGUUGGAUUAGCUAGUUGGUGGGGUAAUGGCCUACCAAGGCGACGAUCCAUAGCUGGUCUGAGAGGAUGAUCAGCCACACUGGGACUGAGACACGGCCCAGACUCCUACGGGAGGCAGCAGUGGGGAAUAUUGGACAAUGGGCGCAAGCCUGAUCCAGCCAUGCCGCGUGAGUGAUGAAGGUCUUAGGAUUGUAAAGCUCUUUCACCGGUGGAGAUAAUGACGGUAGCCGGAGAAGAAGCCCCGGCUAACUUCGUG